rnacentral:rRNA from 1 species
AUUGAACGCUGGCGGCAUGCCUUACACAUGCAAGUCGAACGGUAACAGGUCUUCGGAUGCUGACGAGUGGCGAACGGGUGAGUAAUACAUCGGAACGUGCCUAGUAGUGGGGGAUAACUACUCGAAAGAGUGGCUAAUACCGCAUGAGAUCUACGGAUGAAAGCAGGGGAUCGCAAGACCUUGUGCUACUAGAGCGGCCGAUGGCAGAUUAGGUAGUUGGUGGGAUAAAAGCUUACCAAGCCGACGAUCUGUAGCUGGUCUGAGAGGACGAUCAGCCACACUGGACUGAGACACGGCCCAGACUCCUACGGGAGGCAGCAGUGGGGAAUUUUGGACAAUGGGCGCAAGCCUGAUCCAGCAAUGCCGCGUGCAGGAUGAAGGCCUUCGGGUUGUAAACUGCUUUUGUACGGAACGAAAAGCCCCGGGUUAAUACCCUGGGGUCAUGACGGUACCGUAAGAAUAAGCACCGGCUAACUUCGUGCCAGCCGCCGCCGUAA